rnacentral:lncRNA from 1 species
UGCUCACACCAAGCAGGCUUUUCUUGCAAUCAGGAUCAGCCCUAGGAACUGUAAGGUGCAGGUUGCUGCAGUAACAAGGCGUCUAAUUUAGGUUGGGACUCAGGUCCCUCAGGAGUUAGUUACACUGAGCUGACUCCAGAAGCAACAAGUGUUCCUGGCAGAGGAAGGAGCUUAUGCAAAGGUGAUUCCAGAAGCCAGGCACGUGGUGCAUCCCUGUAAUCCCAGCACUCAUGAGGCUGAGACACGAGGAUCAUCUGAGCCCAGCUUGGACUACAUAGUUCGUGGUCAACCUGAACUAAAUUGAGACCCUGUCUUUAAAAAAAAAAGUGAUUCCAGGUCGCACCUGAGACUCUUGGUAGCUGUUGGCACUGGGAGUUGACCCCCCCCCCGACUCAUCAAGAAUUCAUGCUCACCCACUGGGGCACCGGUCUGCCAAGAACGCCACCUGUGGCAUCAUCCCUACUGCCACCUACCCCAUCCUGCCAUGACUUGUAACUAAGCAGCCCCUGGCAGAUCCUCUUGCCAACCUCUAACACUUCCUGUUUCUCACACCUGCUCAAUGACAGAGGCGGACCAGGCUGUCUGCUGGCCAGACAGUGGCGAAGCACAGGCCCAGAUAGGGACACAGCUGGUCAGUCAUGCAGCGAUGCUAAGGGGAAACAGGCCCCACACCAAGCCCCUGCUUCUCUGCUAACUAGGCCUGAUUUGGGGAGGUCUCUCUCUGCCUAACUUCUUGGUUCUAACCUGCUGGGGAGAUCUGGUUCUCCAUUGGAUGGGGUGUGGGAGGGUGGAGGCUAACACCACCCUGCACUAGCGUGUGUGUGUGAAUAGAACAAAAGCAGUAAAAUGACCUCAGUUGGGUUUUGUGGUUUUUUGCAUGGCUGGACUGGCAUUUCCCUUGAUGUUGGCUACAGAGGAAGAAUCGGUCCAGUUAAUCCUAGGAAAAUGACUUGAGACCAGCUCUCCAGGAAGACUAAGAAACUGAGGUCUAGAGAGGAUCGAUGAAGACAAAGGACCUCAACAUUGUCUUCCAGCAAGGCAGUCAGAGAUGAGGUCUGUUUUAUCUUAUUUGGCCCUGGAGAUGGACUCUACCACUGAGCUGCACUGCCAACCCCUGGGAUCUGUUUUGGAGUCAUUUUAAGGUUUGGUCCUAGCAUGAGGACCCCCUGCUAGUUUCUAGUCACUGAUUUGUGACCAAACAUGGCAUCUUCCAGCACCACCACCCACUUUAGUCACAGAAGUUGGCACUACAAGGUGUCUCUGGGAUGCUUCUAAAAAUAAAAUCCACCCAGAGGGCCAGGAUCCGAGAGGGCUGAGGGGAUGCAGAUGCAUUCAGUUCAUCUCCAGCAGAUGUUUAGAGCAGGAAGCUAGAGGCGACAGUAUUCUGACCCUCUGGGUUUAAAGCAGGGAGCUGGCACUCUGGGACAGCAAGUAACUUGAUUGAAGCCACCCAGCCCUGCAGCUAGGCCAGGACUCAGUUGUGUCUCUCCAAAGGCCAAUUCCAGGGAGGAGUCUAAAAUUGUGAGGCAUCUUUUGACUUGCUGUAUUGGUUACUUCUAGCCUGUGAAGCAUUGGUGUGGUUGUACACACCUGUAAUCCCAGAUACUCAGGAGGCUGAGGCAGGAGGAUGGUCAGUUCAAGGCCAGCCUGGGCAAUUUAGCAAGACCUUGUCUCAAAAUAAAAUAAAAAAGGUCGGGAUGUGACCACUGGUAAAGUGCUAGCCUGGCAUGUGUAAGUCCUUGGCUCCAGUCCCCAGGACUGCAAAAAUAAAAUAAAAUUCUGGUGUCCAUUUGCCAUGUUGUUUUGUGCUUUGGGGUGACUGUGGUCCGUGAAGGCUGACGAG